CUGUCUCCUUCACCUAUAUUAGUUUAUCUGUCUUUCUGGUCACAACAGAAAUUCAAGACGUUUGGGUCCUCAGCUCAACUGACCAAGACCUUUGCUCAUUGAAGGCAUGAAGUAAUUUGUGAUGCCCCCACGAUUGCAGUUUUUAAAUCCAGAUGGCUUGCUCUUUUUAACAUGUGCGAGAGCUGGAUGGUCUUUCAACAACACUGCUCCGGGUCUUCAGCAAGAAAGGUGCUUCUCAUGCAAGGAAGAUACAGAGGAUCCUGGUGCCCAUGACUCAGGUAAAACAUGCACACUGCCAUGCAUCACAGUAAUGCUAAAAUUUCAAGAUCUAAUGUAAUGGGGAGAAGUAGGGUGUCUUGGAUCAUAUUGCAUUUCUCCCACUAAUUUCAAUCCUUCAGCCAGUUUUGAACUCAUUGUCUUCACCUCAGUUCUAACUACAGCUGGCUUUACACACAGCAGUCCUGGGCAAUGAUAUAACAGUCUUUUGCAGACUGACAACAUUGAUGUGAAGAGGGAGUGCAUGCUGAGGAGCUGACGGUCUACCUGAAUGAAGAGCCAGACAAAGUGGAUGUUGAUCUGGACGGUCCAGCUGAAACGUAUUGUCUUCGUGUGCGUGUGAUCGGCAGAGAGUCCUCAACGACAUUGGUAACGUACCUGUGGCCAUUGCAGUGUUUGUUUUGGUUUAUGCUCUUAAUCUCUGUUACCUUCCAGAAUGGAAGUACACUUUCAAAUUUCUGUUUCAUUCUAACCGUCUGUUUCAUCAGUUUUUGCACUGCUUUUAAAUGUACACUGUGUAAGAUUCUUAGUUGUUUAUUUCCAGAAUUCAUGCUACCCAUUCACUAAUGUUACCUUUUUCAUGAAUACUUAGC